rnacentral:rRNA from 1 species
UACGUAGGCAGCGAGCGUUGUUCGGAGUUACUGGGCGUAAAGGGUGUGUAGGCGGUUGUUUAAGUUUGGUGUGAAAUCUCCCGGCUCAACUGGGAGGGUGCGCCGAAUACUGAAUGACUUGGAGUGCGGGAGAGGAAAGUGGAAUUCCUGGUGUAGCGGUGAAAUGCGUAGAUAUCAGGAGGAACACCCAGGGGGAAACCAGCCGCCUGGGCAAGCGCUGACGCUGAGGUGCGAGAGCGUGGGGAGCGAACCGG